CGGUUUGUACGGUGGGGGUGACGGACGUUGAGGCGCUAGCGACGGCGGUUUUCAUCCUGUAGCUAGACUGAAUUCCGCUCGGGUCGACCUCCCAACUCCAUUAAACUCCCCAUCUAUCAUCGACCGCGGCUCAGUCUAUAAUAGUUCAUCCCCAAAUCGAAGGAACAAACCCUAGUUGCACACUGUUCCUCAAUUGACCCCCAAAUCGGAGCAAGGAACAGCAGCCGCAGAAAAGAUGGCAAAUCUGAAUCAAGGUGCUGAUCCGGCGGCACUUCCAAUCGUGCCUUGCCCGGACUGUGGCAGGAAUGUAGUUGCCUAUGUUGCUCGUUGCGGGCAGAGCGCCGGCGAGCGAUUCUGCAAGUGCCGCAACCACAAUCCGUCAGGUGGUUGAUGUGAUUUCUACAAGUGGCAGCAAGCUUACACCGACCACCUCGCAUCGCUUGGUCCAGCCGCGCCCCUAUUGGCGCAAAUCGAGCAAGGAUAAGAGCAAGGCGGCCGAGCUUUGGGAGUUCAAGAUCUACAGGUGCCGCACGCACCACAGGGCAGCAGAACGGCACGCCGGAGCGCACCCAGUUCGUUUCUUCAGUCAGCGCCGCUGCAGGAUACAUGCUCGCCGCGCUUCCAGCUGCUGGGCGCCAGGGAACCAUUGGCGUUGACGCUGCAUAUUCCCAAUCUGGUGGUCUCCGUGGCCAACCUUGUCACUGGGGUGGUUGUGGUCAUGCACGUGCUUGGUUAGGCACCAGCUGCGAAUAGAGCACGGUGUACCAUUGUACCUGCAAAUCAAGUGUUAUGAUGUUUGUAUCAUUGGUUAGCAGCCAAGUAUGUAAUGGUGUAGGCGCAGCUAGGGUGUUGCUGAUGGCGUACUUUUGUAAUGAUCAAGUUUAAGCCGUGUGAUGUAGUCUCGUUUUGUGCAACUAAUAAUAUUAAUGGAAAUAUGUUUUUAGCUAA